AGUGAACGCUGGCGGUAGGCCUAACACAUGCAAGUCGAACGGCAGCACAGUAAGAGCUUGCUCUUACGGGUGGCGAGUGGCGGACGGGUGAGGAAUACAUCGGAAUCUACUUUUUCGUGGGGGAUAACGUAGGGAAACUUACGCUAAUACCGCAUACGACCUACGGGUGAAAGCCGGGGAUCUUCGGACCUUGCGCGAUCGAAUGAGCCGAUGUCGGAUUAGCUAGUUGGCGGGGUAAAGACCAACCAAGGCGACGAUCCGUAGCUGGUAUGAGAGGAUGAAUAGCCACAUUGGACGAAACACACGCGCCACAUUCAGAAGGGAGGCAGCAGGAGGAAAUAUUGGACAAUGGGCGCAAGCCUGAUCCAGCCAUACCGCGUAGGUCAAGAAGGCCUUCGGGUUGUAAAGCCCUUUUGUUGGGAAAGAAAAGCAGCAGGUUAAAACCCCGCUGUUCUGACGGUACCCAAAGAAUAAGCACCGGCUAACUUCGUG
rnacentral:rRNA from 1 species